rnacentral:rRNA from 1 species
AUUGAACGCUGGCGGCAGGCCUAACACAUGCAAGUCGAACGAGUGGCGGACGGGUGAGUAAUGUCUGGGAAACUGGCUGAUCGCGGGGGAUAAGUACUGGAAACGGUAGCUAAUACCGCAUACCCUCGGAUGUGCUCUGAGGGGUUUAGCUAGUGGGUGGGGUAACGGCUCACCUAGACGACGAUGCCUAGCUGGUCUGAGAUGAUGACCAGCCACACUGGAACUGAGACACGGUCCAGACUCCUACGGGAGGCAGCAGUGGGGAAUAUUGCACAAUGGGCGCAAGUCUGAUGCAGCCAUGCCGCGUGAAUGAAGAAGGUCUUCGGGUUGUAAAGCACUUUCAUCGGGGAGGCGGUACCCGCAGAGGAAGCACCGGCUAACUCCGUGCCAGCCGCCGCGGUAAUUC